UUGACAUCGAAAUCGAAUAAUGGAUGACGUGAUACAAGUGUACACAAACAAUAAAGGUGCGCAAUCAAUAAUUUACCAAAAGUAUUCAUAUCGACUUUUUCGUACUAAUAAAAAUUCUGGGGACUUAGUUUGGCGUUGCAAUAAUAAGUUAUGUAGUGUUACGGUGACGACAAAUUCAAAUGUAAAUGUAUUCAUCAAACAGAAUAAAAGUAAACAUCACCAUGAAACAAAUGAAAUUAACCCAGAAUUAAAAGAAAUUCGAUGUGGCGUUAAACGUAAUUCAAAAUUGGAUUUAAACGAAAAACCUUUAAAAAUUGUAAGGAAAGAAUUAUCUACGUCUUCAGUGAGUGCAGAUAAUAUUGAUGCUAUGAGACAGUCUAUGUAUCGUGAAAGACGAAAACUUCUACCCCUUGUGCCUGUGUCACUCUCAGAUGCUCUUAAUAAGGUAAAGGAAUCAAACAUCACACGAAAUAAUGGUGAACAAUUUGUGUUUGUCAAUGAAUGAGUCCACUCAAAUAAUAAUAGUGACAUGUAAAACAAAUUUUCAAUUUUUAUGCAAUGAAAUUGAAUUUAUAUUAGCAGACGGAACUUUUACUUAUUGCCCGAAACAUUUUUAUCAACAAUAUACCAUCCACGGCGUUUGUAAAAAUUAUUACGUACCACUUGUUUUUUGUUUUUUGCCAUCAAAAACAAAAGAUAUUUAUAAACAAAUGUGGGAAACAAUAAAAGACUUAUGUUUAAAUAAUGCCAGUAGUGUAUUCCAGCCUUCCCUCUUACUAUUAAAUUUUGAACUUGGUACUCACAUUGCUGCUAAAGAAGUAAUUCCUUUAAUUAUUAUUAAAGCCUGUCGUUUCCAUCUUGGUCAAGCAUGGUACAGAAAAAUCAGUUCCAUUCCAAUAUUUAAAAAAAACUACGACGAUAAAAAUUCACAAUCUGGACUAUGGUUAAAACUUUAUUUUGGUUUGCCUUAUAUUACCAUCACAUAUGAUUUCUGAGGCGUUUAUUGAGAUAAUAGCUACUUGUCCAGAAGAAAAACAAUAUUAUGAUUUUACUGAUUACAUAUUGGAUAAUUAUAUUGAGACUAAUAAUUUUUCACCAAUGUUGUGGGCAGAAGAGCCCAAUAAAAGUACAAGAACGACGAACGGUGCAGAAAGUUAUCAUAGUCAACUUAGGCAUGAAUUCUAUGUUCCACAUCCUACUAUAUUUCAUUCGAUAGAUGUGUUAAAAGAACAACAAAUAAUUACUGAAACCAAAUUUCGCCUCAUACGAAACGGAAACGUGAACCGUACACGCAAAGUAUGCAGGGAGAAAGAAAAAUCUAUUUUAAAAUAUUAUAUGAUCGUUUCAUUAACAACGAAAUUAGCUUGAUUGAUUAUUUAAAAACAUUAGGAUGUAAGUUUAUUUCA